AAUAGAUACCCGGGUAGUCCACGCCGUAAACUAUGGGUACUAGGUGUGGGAGGUAUCGACCCCUUCCGUGCCGCCGUUAACACAAUAAGUACCCCGCCUGGGGAGUACGGUCGCAAGAUUAAAACUCAAAGGAAUUGACGGGGGCCCGCACAAGCAGCGGAGCAUGUGGUUUAAUUCGAAGCAACGCGAAGAACCUUACCUAGACUUGACAUCUCCUGAAUUACCUGUAAUAAGGGAAGCCCUUCGGGGCAGGAAGACAGGUGGUGCAUGGUUGUCGUCAGCUCGUGUCGUGAGAUGUUGGGUUAAGUCCCGCAACGAGCGCAACCCUUAUCAUUAGUUGCUACCAUUAAGUUGAGCACUCUAGUGAGACUGCCCGGGUUAACCGGGAGGAAGGUGGGGAUGACGUCAAAUCAUCAUGCCCCUUAUGUCUAGGGCUACACACGUGCUACAAUGGUGAGUACAACAAGAUGCAAACCCGUGAGGGGAGCCAAACUGUAAAACUCAUCCCAGUUCGGACUGAAGGCUGAAACUCGCCUUCAUGAAGCCGGAGUUGCU
rnacentral:rRNA from 1 species